CUAAAUAAAAAUGAAAUUCAGUUACAUUAGUACAUUUUCGAUAGUAAAAUUAUUUUCUUGAAUACAUUUUCAAAUAUAUCAAAAAAAUAAAGUGUGUAGAUCGAUACAUUUGUUUUGUUUCUUGAUUCGUUGAUCUUCCUUGUUUAUUGUUUUAUUAGUGACAUUUAUUAUUAUAAAAACUACAUAUAUAAAUAUAUUACCUAUAGUAAAUAUUAACAGAGAACGCUGAAAAAAAAUUUAUAAAUUUGAUUAGUUUUGUAAAACUGAAAUGUUUUGAUAUGGCUAAAUAUUCCAUAAUAUCAACAAGAUAUCCUCUAUCAUUAGGCAUUCAACCCGGAUGAUGAUGUUAUUCUGCCGUAUUUAUUUUUACAACGUUUCAAUAUUGUUUAUGCUCACAGAAUGUGUUUCAUUAAAUCUUUAAACUAUAAUUUACUCUGAAUGACUUCAUCUCCGGUCACACUGUUAUCUGUUUAUAUGUCUGGACGGUUAGUUUUGAUAGAAAUUCGUACUAUUUAUAGUCCCAUAUGGCACUUUACAUUGGAGCAUAGUGCUUAAAACAGGUAAUAUUUGGACAAAUUACAAGUACUUAAUUUCCAUAAAAAGCCGUUUCACUAAGGUGCAUCGUAUAUUUUAUGGUACCACAUUAAACCGUUCAUAGAAAAAUGAAGGAUUUGGCUGAGGUUAAUAAAACGAGCUUAAU